rnacentral:tRNA from 1 species
UGGUCCGGGCGACCACGGCGGCACCGCGGGCCGGGUUGAAGCCCUGGCCGGGGGCGAGAUCGCCGUCUUGCGGGAUCGC